rnacentral:rRNA from 1 species
UCGAGGAUCUUCGGCAAUGGGCGCAAGCCUGACCGAGCGACGCCGCGUGUGCGAUGAAGGCCUUCGGGUUGUAAAGCACUGUCGGGAGGGAGAAAAGGGGAAACCCUUGAUCGACCUCCGGAGGAAGCACGGGCUAAGUUCGUGCCAGCAGCCGCGGUAAGACGAACCGUGCGAACGUUGUUCGGAAUCACUGGGCUUAAAGGGCGCGUAGGCGGGUUCGCAAGUCCGGGGUGAAAGCCCACGGCUCAACCGUGGAAGCGCCUUGGAUACUGCGAGUCUCGAGGGAGGUAGGGGCGUGCGGAACUUCCGGUGGAGCGGUGAAAUGCGUAGAUAUCGGAAGGAACACCGGUGGCGAAAGCGGCGCGCUGGACCUCUUCUGACGCUGAGGCGCGAAAGCCAGGGGAGCAAACGGGAUUAGAUACCCCGGUAGUCC